GGACGGGGCCUGCUCUUAAAGGGGCCGCACCACGAACCCAACCGCGCUGGGCGGGGCCUGGCAGGUUGGCGGCCGCUUCCUCCGGUUUCCCACGCUGUCCUUUCCUAGCUGACCCUCCCGAGAAGGCUUUCCUGUGAGGCUGGAAGAGGACUUUUCUUACAAGCGCAGAAAUGGCAGUAACCCACAUACCAGGGAAAAUGUCCUUAGAGUUGGGAAGCUGUGCGUUUCAGUUGGUAAAUCUGCUUGCUUUUGAUUUUAACAUAGAUCUAGCCCAAACGUUUGGAAAGAGAAAAAUGCUUGAGAAAAGACCGUAUCCUCUUCAGAAGGAAUAGCAUAGAAUUGUAUAGUUCCUGACCAAACUUUGUGAAAAACGGGUAUCAACCAAGUCUUCUUUUUGAGAUUGUAAUUUAAUUACAACAUUUCCCCUUUCCCUUUUCCCUUCUAGCCUCCCAUAUACCCUCCCCUGCUCUCCUUCAAAUUCAUGGCCUCUUUCUUUUUAUUAAUUGUUAUUACAUGCAUAUAUGUACUCGUAUAUAAAUAUUUAUUCCCAAGUAUAACCUGUUGCGUCCAUAUAAUAUUCCUAUAUGUAUGUUUUCAGGGCUGACCAUUUCACACUGGACAACCAAUUGGUGUGCUCUUCCCUAGGGAGGGCCACCUCUCCAGCUUCCAGCUUUCCUCAGCUGCCUAUAGCUCUUCAUGUAGCUUUGUGGCCCAGUGGGCUUCCUCCACCCCCACCCCAGGUUUAAAAACCAAUCUUCUUGCUGGGUGGUGGAUCUCUGUGAAUCUGAGGCCAGCCUGGUAUACAAAGCAAGAUCCAGAACAAGCACCAAAAACUACACAAAAAACCUUGUCUUGAAAAACAAAAAACGAAUUCUUCUUAAGUGUUAAACUUUCUUUCUUUCUUUUUUUUUUUUUUUAAGUGUUAAACUUGCCUGUAACUGUUUUUUUGGUAGGGAGGGGAAGUUGUUGUGAUUGUUGUUGUUUUCACGACACAAUCUACCUACCAAGACCUGAUCUGACUGGCUUCCAAUCUGCAGAGGACCUCUUGCCUCUCCUUCUCUUGAGUACAGGGAUUACCAUGCUCCGCUCUUCUAUGACUUUCUAUACCCGUCUACUAGAAAUGGCUUAACAAGGGGCCCUUCAUUAUCCCUCCAGCAUGUGCUAGGGCUCUCUCCUUUUUCUGCUUUCCUUUAUCCCCCAAGUCCUCCUCAGCACUCUAUUCUGGCCUCACUAGACAAGCAUUCCAAAUCCCUACUUAUGUGGUGUGCAUCCUCUCUAUCUCCAAGGUGUAGUCUGUUCCUGGCCCGAAAUAUCUCUGCACCCCAUAUUUUACCUGGCUAACUCUGUUCUUCAGAUUAUUUUAUCUUGGAAAAAUCUUUCCUCAUCAUCUAUUUUAAGAUUACUUAGCCAAGUGAUGGUGGCGUGCGCCUUUAAUCCCAGCACUCGGGAGGCAAAGGCAGGCAGAUCUCUGGGAGUUUAAGGUCAGCCUAGUCUACAGAGUGAGUUCCAGGACAGGCUCUAAAGCUACACAGAGAAACCCUGUCUGGGGGGUGGGGGGAAUUACUUGACAUUUUCUACAUUUCCCUGAGUUCCUCCUCCUUAGCUUAAAAAUCAUCACAAUAUGUUUCUGUUUCUUUUGUAUUUCUCUGUCCUGUAAAAGGUAACUCCCAUUAUGGUAGGAGCCAUGCAUAUUCAGUUCACAGUGGCAGCUAUAUAUUGCAGUCUCCGUGUAUACAUAGGAGAUGCUCAGUAAGUGCUUAUUGAAGAAUGAAUAAAUAGUGCUAAAAGAGAGUUUCAAUUAGAGGCAAAUGUACUGCAGAGGAAAAAGAGUAUCAAAACACUGUAAAUAUAUGUCCCUUAGGUAUGAUGGCCAAGCACAGUAUAAAGAACUAGGAGAGCAUGGCUUUCCUAUAACACAAAUUUCACAAAUGAUGAAAAAUGUAAAGUAUCCUUAUGUUAAUAGAAAUACAAACAGAUGUAUUGAUACUCAGCCCCAAAUUCAUAGAAAUGUUAAAAUAAAGUUGGAAACUCAAGAAAUUGCAGACUCUGCAGAAGAUUACUAACAGCUAAACUUCUAGGGGUCCAUCUUUACUUUCUUCUGCCUUUGGGCCAUGACUUAGGUGGUGGGGUUGUUUGUAGAGAUGCACAUGGAAGGCCUGGGAAUUGACAGCAGCCAGCAGUCAACCUGUACCAUUGUCCUUCACAGAUGAGGCCUAUUGUGCCAUCAUGGAGCAUGAGGAUCAUCGGUUUUCAGAGAUCAGCAGUGCUAUGAUAACACACAGCAUUAGUUACCCAUUCUUCUUAUCCCCCAGAGGGCCCUGUGGUAUGUUUCUCAAAUAAGUCUCACUUGCUAGCGGCUCUCUCUCUCUCUUUCUCUCUCUCUCUCUCUCUCUCUCUCUCUCUCUCUCUCUCUCUCUCUCUCUCUCUCUCUCUCUCUCUCUCCCUGCAAGAAAGACUUAUUGAGGGAAGCUAUGAUGCCCCAGGCUGUCCCAGAUGCUAGGGAGACAAUGGUGAACAGAGGAGCCAGACCAGGCCCCACUUCAUGAAGCUAACAUUCUCUGUUUGGCCAACACAUAUAAGUCAUCUAGAUCACUUUAGUCUGUGCUAAAUGCUAAAAAGAGACUAAUCCAGAGUUGUUCUUAGAUCAGCCAGGUUCCCUAAGAAGAUAAUAUUUGAGUUAAUGUCUGUAUAAUGAGGAGGAGCCAACCACUAUAAAUAAAAGGCAGGCUUAAGCCAGGCACUGGUGGCACAUUCCUUUAAUCCCAGAACUUGGGAGGCAGAGGCAGGUUGAUCUCUGUGUGUUCCAGGACAGCCAGAGCUGUUAUAUAGAAAAACCCUGGCUCAAAAAACAAAAAGCAAACAAACAAAAAGUCCAGGCAAAGCACUGACUGAUACGAUGCUUUAUUCAAGGAGGUUCCGCUGUUCGGUGAUACAUGAAGACCCUUUUUUUUUUUAAAAAGCCUAUCCAUCCUGUUUGAUCAUAUCACAAUUCUUCCCAAAUGAGUUGAUAAUUGGGAAUGAUUUUAAUAAACUAUGAAGUAUUUUCAAAUAUCAAAUGUUGCCAAGUAAUAGUAAUAACGACCAUAAGAGAGGCAAAGGAAAACAAACACAGCCGAGUCUGCUUUCCUGCAAAGGAACAUACCAGUUAGCUGAAGGCAAAAGGCAUUUCCUUGUUGUUAAGGAAGGGGUUUUGUAGUUAUUCUUGGUAAGUUAUACACUGCUGUGACAAAAUACUUGAGACAGGGUAAUUUAUCAAGAAAUUUAUUUCUCCCAGUUUCAGAGGCUGACAGUUCAAGAUCAAGAGGCCUACAGGUUCAGUGUCUACUGAAAGCCUGUCUUUCUGCUUCUGAGAUGGCUUAUGUCUUCUGGAGGGAAGAAGUGUUAUAUCAGAACAUAGUGGAAGAGGAGAAAAAAAGGAGCCUAGCUAGUUCCCUACAACCUUUUUAUGAGAGUACUAAUCCCAUUUUUGAAAGUGAAGCCCUCUACGCUUAUUGAUCUCCUAAAAGCCCCAUCUCUUAAUUGGGGGUUAAGUUUCAACAUGAAUGUUGGAAGGGAUAUAACAUUCAAACCAUAGCAAAGGAUUAAAACGUACUUGAAAUAGACUAGAAUAUACUCAGUGCUCUACAUAGUUGAUUAAAGUAAGUCCAAGAAUGUAGCAAGUCUUUCUCUGUACUGCCAGCUCCCAAAUAAUGACACAGAGACGUCUUAUUAAUUAUGAAAGCUUGGCCUUUAGCUUAGGCUUGUCUCAACUAGCUCUCAUAACUUAAAUUAUCCCAUUUAUAUUAAUCUAUGUUCUAUCACAUGGCAUUACCUCUCUUUCAUCUUGCACCUUCUAUUUCCUCUCUGUGUCUGGCUGGUCAUCUUUCUUUUUCCUGGCAUCUUCUCUGUCCCCAGAAGUCCCGCCUAACCUCUUCCUGCCUAGCUAUUGGCCAUUCAGCUCUUUAUUAAACCAAUCACAGUGGCACAUCUUCACACAGUGUACAAAUAUCCCACAACACAAUAAUUCAUCAGUUAAGGAAAACAAUCUUGACAUAAAGGCCCAUGAGGUAGGUUCUUGCUUUAGCUCACCAGGGCCACUCAGAGUUCAUGGUCUCUAACAGAUUUUGAUGAUUAGAACAGGUGAAACAUGACAAAUUAUUCAAUUUGCUGUCUUCUAAGCAAGCUCUGAUAUACAUGAAAAAUGUCCUUUUACAGUAGUAUUCAACAGAUGAGAACACUAAUGCCCAAUGGCACCUAAAACAUUUAUACAACUGAGCUAUUUGCAGAUGUGCAUCUAGAACCCCACCCCUGAUUUUUCCUAUGCAUUUCAUGAGAAAUGUUUUAUAUAUGAUAGGCAUAUGCUAGGUACUCAGUAAACAUGUCUCUUGGUUCCUUCUGAAUUUCUUCUUGACAAUAUAUAAUUAUGUUUCCAUGAAAUUCAAAACUGGACAGAAUUAAAAGGAAUAGGGUUGUCAGCUCAGAUUUCGGUCAGUGUGAUGGCUUAGUGUUGUCAGCUUGGGAGGAUCCAGAGUCACCUAGGAGACAAGCCUCCAGGUGCACUUGUGAGCUAUAACCUAGGUUAAGGUGAGCUUCUGAGAAUGUCUGUGAGAAAUUAUUCUGAUUAGGCUGAUUGAUGUGGCAGACUGUUCCCUAGGUGGGGGAUUCUAAACCGUAUACAAUGAAUAAAGCAGGCGGAGUGCUGGCAUUCCUAGUUCUCUGCUUUCUGACUGUAGAUGUAAUGUGACCGGCUACCUCAAGAUCAUGCUGUCUUAUGUACCUAUGAUCUGUGAGCUAGAAUAAGCCCUUCCCCCCCUGAGUUGCUUUUGUCAGGUAUUUUAUCACAGCUACAGGAAAAGAAACUCAGACAGAAAAUCGGUACCAACCUGACCUCACGGCUCUUAGGCCUUUGGAAUUGGUUUAUGGGAGGAAUGUGGAAGAGUUUGGCACUUGGGACUAGAAAAGCCCUGGAAGGCUGGAAACAGAGCUUAAUGGGUUGUUCUGAUAGGGGCUUAAAAAUACAAGAGCACUGAAAGAAUGCAGACAGUGGAGGCCAGAUUCCACCAGGAACUGGGCUAAGGACCAUUCAUGUGAUAUUUUGGCUAAAAAUCUGGCUUCAUUUUGCCCAUAUCCUGAGAACUUGAAUGAAGUUGACUUUAAAGCUAAUGGACUAAUUUGUUUAGCAGAGGAAACUUUAGGUGAGGAAAGAAUUCAGGCCAGUGAUGAGGGAACAACGGUAAUUAUUAAGUAGAGCAGCACUGCGGAAGAGAAGCCUCCUGUACUGCACUGGGAGAAUGGGAAAAGUACUCCGAGAGCAAGAUCCCACCCACCAGAGGCUCCAUACCAUGAGGGUUUCACCAACGUCAGCCUAGAAUGCAUACGGACGUUGCUAUGGCUGUGGUACAAGGGGGCCCGGCUGCAUCAGGAGCUGGCAACAGAAUUUGGCAACAUCAUCCAUGCUACCAUGGCACUGAUUUUGAAGUCAUUAAAAAUGAAAACUUAGACACAGUCAUGGAGUCCUGAUCUGUGGUAUCAAAGAACCACUGAGGCCAGGAAAUGUGUCGCAGAGUCAGAGUCCCUACAAGGAGGCCCUGAGAGGCCGGUGCAUGAAGCUGUAAAGGUGACACCCAUGGGGCUGUGGUGACCAUGGGGCAUCAGAGAUGCUAGGACCAUGGGCUGUCCUCCAAGGAGAACUGACAGCGUGAGUGAAGAGAGGCUAUGUGUGUUACAGGCAGCAGAGCUGGAGCUGGGCCAGCCAAGCCAUUUGGAGCCCAGCUGAUUAUAUUACAAGCCUCUGAUGCUAUACAAAGCUGUGGGAUUUGGGGUUUGCCCUACUGGAUUUUGGUCUCACUUUGUUCCAAUCAUUCCUAUGCCCCUAUUCUUCUUUUUUGGAAUGGAAAUGUUUACUAUAUGCCAUUUUAUGCUGAAAACAUGUAACUUGUUUUUUAUUUUAUAGGAACUCACAUCACAGUUAAGAGACUUUGUAACUGUUUUUUUUUUUUUUUUUUUUUUUGUUU